rnacentral:rRNA from 1 species
UACGGAGGGCGCAAGCGUUGCUCGGAAUCAUUGGGCGUAAAGCGAACGCAGGCGGCCUGGUAAGUUGGGUGUGAAAUCCCGGGGCUCAACCCCGGAACUGCAUUCAAAACUGCCAGCCUUGGGUACGGGAGAGGGAAGCGGAAUUCCUGGUGUAGAGGUGAAAUUCGUAGAUAUCAGGAGGAACAUCAGUGGCGAAAGCGGCUUCCUGGCCCGAUACUGACGCUCAUGUUCGAAAGCGUGGGGAGCAAACAGG